rnacentral:rRNA from 1 species
UCGAACGAUGAAACCGCCCUCGGGCGGACAUGAAGUGGCGAACGGGUGAGUAACACGUGACCAACCUGCCCCUUGCUCCGGGACAACCUUGGGAAACCGAGGCUAAUACCGGAUACUCCUCGCCACCCUCCCUGGGGGGGCCCGGGGAAAGCCCAGACGGCAAGGGAUGGGGUCGCGGCCCAUUAGGUAGUAGGCGGGGUAACGGCCCACCUAGCCCGCGAUGGGUAGCCGGGUUGAGAGACCGACCGGCCACAUUGGGACUGAGAUACGGCCCAGACUCCUACGGGAGGCAGCAUG